AAGUUGGUCAGUUUUGAUGGAUCAAGAAUUUUUUCAGGACUUUUUUUCCUAUUGAUUAAGGAGUGAAAACGGGCUGAACUAGACCAUUUGAAGCUUUAAGAAGGACUUUCUUCCAGCAAACACUAAAACUGGAGGCUUCAUCGGCAAACAGAAGAAGUGCAAUGGAACCUCGGUUACCCUAAAGAGAGACAGAGGAUUUGAUUUUCCUCCACGCCAGUUGUCAAGGCAACUAAAUUCACACCCCACCCACAAACAUCUCGGUUUUAAAAGAGAGGAAGUGUCAAUUGGUCUGGAUUUAUGAUGGUGCUGGUUGUGAUUGAUCAAGAACCUUCGAGACCAUUGCGCUAGAUUGAUACGGUCCGGGAAUUUGAGCUUCUCAUCCUCCGAGCGUUCCAUUGUGAUGGCGCCACUCAUGCCACGUACCCCGCCCUCCAAGUCACACCCUCGCCGGACACCGCCCCCUUUCACCUCUCGGGCAGCUUGACCCGAUCCUCCUAAGCUGAUAUUGGCCACUGGAGCUCGUCGGUAGAUUACACCAGUGUCCUUCAAGCCAUGACUACUCGAACUAGAGGCCAUUUUGGGAUGGCCGAACACGGCAAACGAGGAAAGCCGGAUUUUCUUAAAUGAGUCGCUUGGAACCUGCCUCGAGUAAUUCUACUUCCUCUGAAUCCGAGUGGAGCCAAUGGAACGAACCGUCGAUUGAUUAAACAUUUUCCAUCCACC